GGACCCGUAGCUCAAGUGGAUAGAGCACUGCGCUUCGAACGCAGGGGUUGGGAGUUCGAGUCUCUCCGGGUCCGCCA
rnacentral:tRNA from 1 species